rnacentral:rRNA from 1 species
CCUACGGGAGGCAGCAGUGGGGAAUAUUGGUCAAUGGGCGCAAGCCUGACCCAGCAACGCCGCGUGAAGGAAGAAGGCUUUCGGGUUGGAAACUUCUUUUCUCAGGGACGAAGAAAGUGACGGUACCUGAGGAAUAAGCCAAGGCUAACUACGUGCCAGCAGCCGCUCUAAUACGGAGGUGGCAAGCGUUAUCCGGAUUCAUUGGGUGUAAAGGUCGUGUAGGCGGGAGGGCAAGGCAGAUGUGAAAUCUCAGGGCUCAACCCUGAGCCUGCAUUGGAAACUGUGUUUCUUGAGUGCUGGAGAGGCAAGCGGAAUGCCGUGUGUAGCGGUGAAAUGCGUAGAUAUACGGAGGAACACCAGUGGCGAAGGCAGAUUGCUGGACAGUAACUGACGCUGAGGCGCGAAAGCGUGGGGAGCAAACAGGAUUAGAUACCCGGGUAGUC